rnacentral:tRNA from 1 species
UGCCCCGUAGCACAAUUCGGUAGUUGCGCCUGGCUUUGGACCGGGAGGUUGAAGGUUCGAUCCCUUCCGGGGCAGC